rnacentral:rRNA from 1 species
CAAUAGCGUAUAUUUAAGUUGUUGCAGUUAAAAAGCUCGUAGUUGGAUUUCGGUUAAGAGCGACCGGUCCGCCGUUUGGUGUGCACUGGUUGGUUUUAACUUCCUGUAGAGAACGUGCUCUGGGUUUAACGACCUGGACUCGGAGUCUACGUGGUUACUUUGAAAAAAUUAGAGUGUUCAAAGCGGGCUUACGCUUGAAUAUUUCAGCAUGGAAUAACACUAUAGGACUCCUGUCCUAUUUCGUUGGUCUCGGGACGGGAGUAAUGAUUAAGAGGAACAGUUGGGGGCAUUCGUAUUUCAUUGUCAGAGGUGAAAUUCUUGGAUUUAUGAAAGACGAACUUCUGCGAAANCANNNGCCAAGGAUGUUUUCAUNAA